UGGGUGAUUAGUUUAUAUAAGAAUUUUACUUUGUGGUAGUAAAGGAAGUUGUGCUAUCGCCUAU
rnacentral:tRNA from 1 species